ensembl:lncRNA
AUCUCCCCCCAAACAACAACCCCCCGCUCUUCUUCUCCCCGUUGUCCUCCUCUACCCCUCCGCCGGCGCCAAGCAACGCCUCGGCCCUCCUCUCUUCUUCUUCUUCUUCUUCUUCUUCUCCUGCGACGCACAGCAGCAGCACCGCCGUGUCAUCCAAGACCUCCACUGGGCUGACCAACGUGAACACGAGGCCCGUAUCCACGACGACCGCCACGCCCAUCACGCCCUUCCACACGCCGGCCAGCCCACCCGGCCGACAGGUAUCACAGCCCGCGGGCACACCUGGUCCUGUGCGAGCCAACCAGAGCCCCUCCCCCGUGAGGCAGCGGGUCUCCCAGCAGACCCUGCUCCUGGGGAAAGGUCUCAAAGGGUCUGGGCCAGACCAGGUGCUGCUCAGAGCUCAGAUGCAGCUGAUUCUCACGUCUGCUAUGCGACCUUCCCUUUCCUCUUCCUCCUCUUCCUCCUCUCCUCCUUCCUCUAACCAUGCCUCCGCUAAGCUCCAGAGCCUCACCCUGAGGCCCCCCCCCCACGGGGCCCUCACCAUCCCUCCCUCCCUUCGCCUCAAGCCGCCGUGCUCGGCUCAGCAUCGACUCUCUCGCCCUCAUGCCCCCCUCUUCCCCCCCCUGAGGCCGCGCCCGCAGUCCUGCCACACGGCGACGGAGAGACCAAACGCGCCCGGGCGCCACCUCUCCGUCCCGCCUCCGAGUAGGUCUCACUUACCUGUUUCACUUUCGGGAUUGUCGCUCAGCUGCCCGGUCGGUUGAAGCGGAGGAGGAAAGGGUGUUAGUGCGUCCACUCACUGGUCACAUGGUCUCACAGGGAGACGAAGAAGGACCGCGGCGCCUUUCCCGCGCACUUACUUCAUAAAAUGAAUUUUGGUCGGUUGCUCUU